rnacentral:rRNA from 1 species
AUUGAACGCUGGCGGCAGGCCUAACACAUGCAAGUCGAACGAGUGGCGGACGGGUGAGUAAUGUCUGGGAAAAUGCCAGAUGGAGGGGGAUAACUACUGGAAACGGUAGCUAAUACCGCAUACCAUCAGAUGUGCCCAGAUGGGAUUAGCUAGUAGGUGGGGGAAAGGCUCACCAAGGCGACGAUCCCUAGCUGGUAUGAGAGGAUGACCAGCCACACUGGAACUGAGACACGGGCCAGACUCCUACGGGAGGCAGCAGGGGGGAAUAUUGCACAAUGGGCUGAAUCCUGAUGCAGCCAUGCCGCGUGUAUGAAGAAGGCCUUCGGGUUGUAAAGUACUUUCAGCGUGGAGGCGUUACCCGCAGAAGAAGCACCGGCUAACUCCGUGCCAGCAGCCGCGGUAAUAC